rnacentral:rRNA from 1 species
CCUACGGGAGGCAGCAGUGGGAAAUAUUGCACAAUGGGGGAAACCCUGAUGCAGCGACGCCGCGUGAAGGAAGAAGUAUUUCGGUAUGUAAACUUCUAUCAGCAGGGAAGAAAAUGACGGUACCUGACUAAGAAGCCCCGGCUAACUACGUGCCAGCAGCCGCGGUAAUACGUAGGGGGCAAGCGUUAUCCGGAUUUACUGGGUGUAAAGGGAGCGUAGGCGGUUUAGCAAGUCAGAAGUGAAAGCCCGGGGCUCAACUCCGGGACUGCUUUUGAAACUGUUGAACUAGAGUGCAGGAGAGGUAAGUGGAAUUCCUAGUGUAGCGGUGAAAUGCGUAGAUAUUAGGAGGAACACCAGUGGCGAAGGCGGCUUACUGGACUGUAAAUGACGCUGAGGCUCGAAAGCGUGGGGAGCAAACAGGAUUAGAUACCCUGGUAGUC